UGAGAAUAAGCAGCCUGAUAAUAGCGCAAAUGCAGAAUAGCAUCAAUAUAGUAAUUUUUAUCUUUAUUAGACAGUUAUGAAUAUACACAAAUUUCAUUUAAUCUAAUCCAAGUUCCCUCUCUCCCUCUGUCUCCUACAGUUACACUUUCCCUCAAACCCUCUCCAGCCAGGACCAAUGUACUUCCUGACCCCACGGAAAUGUGGCCUAUUUGGUGUUUCCUGUGAAGGGCUGCAUAAACAGGUGAAUUACCUGAUUGAUGAAGGCAUGUCAUCUACUAAGGGAAGCAAUGAAGUCAUCAGCUACAUGCAUCAUUUCUUCGGCAACUUUGGAGUUGGAGAAACAGAGGUGGAUCUUCAUUGUGACAACUACAGUGGGCAGAACAAGAACAACUUUCAUGCUCUGGUACCUUGCCUGGCAGGUUGGACACAAGCUUCACGAUAAAAUUGAAAUCAACUUCCUUAUUGCUGGCCACACCAAGUUUUCCCCUGACUGUGGCUUUGGACUCAUCAAGCAAGCCUACAUGAAGAGAAGAGUCAACACUUUGACAGACAUCGCUAAGGUUGUGGAAAACAGCUCUCCUGUGAGUCACCUCAAUAUCCCACAGCUUGUUGGAACGGCAGAGGGCAAAGUUUUAGUCCAGACCUUCGACUGGCAGCAGCAUCUGACUCACCACUUCCGUAGACUCCCACAGAUCAAGAGUUAUCAGCACUUCAGCUUUCACGCCAAGAGACCAGGUGUGGUGCUUGCAAAAACUCACCGUUAUGCACAACCUGUUGAAUAUCAGCUACUGCGCGAUGGAGCAGAUCUACCCCCUAUCGACGGUCUUCCUGUCCUGGCCCCACCUGGACUGAACAUUGACAGGCAGACCUAUCUGUAUGAAAUCAGGCCAUUCUGUGCUGAUGAGGCAAGAGACAUCACAUGCCCAGCGCCAAGGGUCACAACACAGAAGAGACCACAGAAGAGGAUGCGAAUGUGAUAUCAUUGGACAUUGAAAGUGCUUGAAUUUAUUUUGUGCAAGAAGUUUUCUGGAAGAAAUUCCAUAUUAUUCUCUCCGGUCCGAUAAUGUGUUAUUUAGCCAACACUUUGUGGACUAUGCUUGAUUUACGUUAGUUACUUGCAUUUACGCGUUACGUUAAGUGUUUCCCGCGUGAGGUAAUUUUUUGUUGUACGUUGCCAUGAUGUUCAUGUGCGCACAAAACUACUACGGUACCUCAGCGUUUCACAGACACACUGUGAAAUGACUGGUUACAUGAGCCUAAGCUCUUUUCAAUAAAGUCCAUGCAAAAGUUAAUAUCA
ensembl:lncRNA